rnacentral:misc_RNA from 1 species
UCUCCGUAGGUGAACCUGCGGAGGGAUCAUUACUGAGUGAGGGCUUCGGUCCGACCUCCAACCCUUUGUGAACCAAACUUGUUGCUUCGGGGGCGACCCUGCCGCUUCGGCGGUGCGGCGCCCCCGGAGGCCAUCAAACCCUGCGUAACUAAGUCGUCGGAGUUUAAACAAAUUAAACAAAACUUUCAACAACGGAUCUCUUGGUUCGGGCAUCGAUGAAGAACGCAGC